CUGGCACAGGACACCCCUUCCUCCCUCAGGCAUCUCCCGGGAGGCUGGAAGGUGGAGGAUGAAGUCUUGGGGAUCCUGAGGAACAACACCCUGAGACCAGGACUGAAGUCUGCCAGGGCAGAGGGAGCCUGGAAGAGCAGGGUGGAGAGGGAGGCUCAGCUGGAGCCGGAAGCCCAAGAGGCUGGUCAGACCUGGUGGCUGGGCGCUUCUGGAGACCCGCUGUGCCUCUGUCUGGCUGACGAAGGGGAGUCGUAGAAAAGAAAGUAGACGGCUGCAUACUUGUCUGUUUGUGCUUUCUGUGGUGUGAACACGUAUCCCAUGGGUAGUUGUGCAGUCUAUGCCUGCUGCAAAUGUGUGCAUACAGUGUAAGUCGUGCCCUGGUGACAGGGUGGGAGGUGUGUAUGUCAUUCACCUUCGGAGAGGGCAUAUAUUUGGGGCAUUGUAAUUAUCAUAUGGCUAAUACUGGGGGAAUGCUUACUGGGACCACACUGUGUGUUGCAUUCGUAUGUCAUUGGUGAUGUGUGCAGCUGUGUUCUGGGUGUAUAAUCCUGGCUUGCUGAAUGAUAACAGAGAAUACGUACAGAGCCUCUGCUUUGGCUGGGAGAGGCUCUCUGUUCCGAAGCUGACUCUCAGCACUCCCCAACUGCUAUCCGGAGCAGAGAAAGCAGAGGAGGGAAGUCUCCAGGGCAGAGCCUCUCAGUGAGGUGAGGAAGUUGGCCUAGGCCGACACUGGAAGACAGAGCCUCUCUCUACCCCCAGGAACUGAAAGGCAAGAGGCACCCAAUGCGGGAGAGAGCGGCAGCCUCACCAAGUACAGAGGAUGAAAUGAAGGAAUUGAUGAGGGAUUCUGGUCUACACAGGGACUGGAGGAGACACACACAGGUGUUGCGAGUGCUGCGCCGCUCGGAAUCCUUCCCAAGACAUAGCGAGCAGAAGAGCCCGGCGACCUGCGAGUGCGGAGACCGAGGGACCUCCAGCAGCCACGCCGCGCGCCUCCCACGCACCCACGUCGGGGCAUGCGCUGCAGCCGCAUACUUUCCCAGGCCGACGACGACCCCUCGGUUCGCCUCCCUUCGUGAUGGCCUGUGAGGCCGACUCGGGAAUCUUGGUCCUCACUGAAACGGGAGCUGCCCACCGGCGGCUGAGAGAUAAAGGAGCGCCGCGGCACGGAGGCGCUGACCGGAUCCGGGCUUUCCCGCACCCUGGCGCAGCACUUGGGGAGACAAGCCAAGAGAAGUUAAUGGGUACCCGUUUACACACAGUCUGUGAGAGACGGAGGCCAACCACAGAUCCUGCCCGCUGUUGAACGUGGAUGUGUUUGCCCAUGCGCUCCGAG